rnacentral:rRNA from 1 species
UUAAAACUCGUGAUGUCGUAAGGGAAAAUAAUGAUAGUACCUUACUAUUAGUGUCGUCCAAAUCUAGUGCCAGAAGACUCGGUAAGACCAGAGACGCAAACGUUAAUCAUCUUAAGCAGGCGUAAAGGGUAAGUAGGCAGCUCCCAAAAAGAAGACAAUUAUGAAAUAAAGUCAACUUAUUGGGAGAUAGAAUCAAAUGGAGGUCAAACCGUAUAACGCUCGGGGGAGGGCUGAUAUCCUUAGAUCCCGAGUAGAAUACUAAGGGCGCAGGCCACUGACCACUAAUGAUUGACGCUGAGGAACGAAGGUUAGGGUAAGAAAUAGGAUUAGAUACCCCGGUACUCCUUUCUGUAAACGAUGAAUGGUAGUCAUUAGAAAACAAUAGCUUUUUUAGAGACGAAGUUAACACGAUAACCAUUCCGCCUUGUGAGUACUACUGCAAAGUAGAAAACAAAAAAAUUAGUCGGUCUCGAAGCAAACGGAGUGAAGCAUGUUAUUUAAU